rnacentral:sRNA from 1 species
GAGAGACCAACCUUAACAGUUACCUUCAGUAAAAGCCACAGCUCUUCCCCCAGUUCAUAAGGAAGCUGGAAGCAGAUAUCUCUACAAAUAAGCAGGCAAAUAAUAAAUUAAGUUUCCGUAGUUUGACCCUUUACUUUGAUCCAGCCAAAAGUAAUUAGUUGGGUCUUCUGCCACGAGCUCUUCAUAAUAAUUGCUGCUGACCUAUGAGAUAUUCAAGAUUCUCUAGGAAUAGAUUUGUAUCCUUUCUCCCCAUUUGCAAGAAGAAUUUUUGAUGGAUGCUGACACCUUCAGAUCAUUCAGGCCAUCCUGAGAAUCCAUACAGCUGAUGGGCGGCGCCGGGCUUUUUCAACUUGUGGAGCCCAUGUAACCGUGGUCACCGUGUACUAUGUGCCCUGUGCCUUCAUCUACCUGAGGCCUGAAACCAACAGCCCCCUGGAUGGGGCAGCUGCCCUAUUCCCCACGGCCAUCACUCCUUUCCUCAACCCCCUUAUCUACACUCUGCGGAACCAAGAGGUGAAGCUGGCCCUGAAAAGAAUGCUCAGAAGCCCAAGAACUCCGAGUGAGGUUUGAAAGCUUUCUCCCACUUAGGGAAGCUGUCACAAGUAGAAUUUAUUAUAAUGUUUAGGCCUCAGUAACUUUUUUCUUUUCUUCUUGCUUUUUCUCUUUUAUAUAGCCAUAUUGUAUGAUCAAACACAGUUUAAGGUAAAAUACUAACUUUCUAACAGUUCCUUAGUAUCCUCUCAAGAUAACUCUCAGCCACUACAAGAGUAGAGAAUGAGACCAAAUUCUCACAAACUAAACCACAUUAAACAAUCCAGAAGAAAGAAUGCAAUAGUGUAUUUUCCAAUGUCUCAGUAAUAAAUUCUCCCACACCAAAAUGUAGAGUUCAAUAUGAUAUUUCCCAAUAUGAUAUUUGAUAUUUAAUAUUGAGUGGCAACUUGAUUGGAUUGAAGGAUACAAAGUAUUGAUCCUGGGUGUGCCUGUGAGGGUGUUGCCAAAAGCGAUUAAGAUUUGAGGGCUGGGAAAGGCAGAUCCACCCUUAAUCUGAGUAGGCGCAACCUAAUCAGCUGCCGGCGAGGCUAGAAUACAAGCAGGUAGAAAAAUGUGAAAAGAAAGACUGGCCUAGCCUCCCAGCCUACAUGUUUCUCUUGCGCUGGAAGCAUCCUACCCUCAAACAUAAAACUCCAAGUUCUUCAGUUUUGGAACUUGGACCGGCUCUCCUUGCUCCUCAGCCUGCAGACAGCCUAUUAUGGGACCUUGUGAUCAUGUGAGUGAACACUUAAUAAACUCCCCUUCAUAUAUAUAUAUAUAUAUAUAUAUAUAUAAAAAAAAAAAAAAAAAAAAAAAAAAAAAAUAUAUAAAUAUAUAUAAAAUAUAUAUUUUUUUUUUUCCAUUAGUUCUGUCCCACUAGAGAACCCUGACUAACACCAGGCGCGGUGGCUCACGCUUGUAAUCCCAGCACUUUGGGAUGCUGAGGUGGGUGGAUCACGAGGUCAGGAGAUCAAGACCACGGUGAAACCCCGUGUCUACUAAAAAUACAAAAAAAUUAGCCGGGCGUGGUGGCGGGCACCUGUAGUCCCAGCUACUCAGAGAGGCUGAGGCAGGAGAAUGGCGUGAACUGGGGAGGCGGAGGUUGAACUGAGCCGAGAUCGCGCCACUGCACUCCAUCCUGGGUGACAGAGUGAGACUCCAUCUCAAAAAAAAAAAAAAUAAAAAAAAAGAGAACCCUGACUAACACAGGGGUGAAAGAUAACAGACUACAUAUUGGGUACAGUGUACACUGCUUGGGUUACGGGUGCACCAAAAUCUCAUAAAUCACCGCUAAAGAACUUAUCCAUGUAACCAAAAACCACCUGUACUCCAAAAACUAUUGAAAUAAAAUUUUCUUAAAAAGC